rnacentral:rRNA from 1 species
AUUGCACGCUGGCGGCAGGCUUAACACAUGCAAGUCGAACGAGUGGCGGACGGGUGAGUAAUGCUUGGGAAUCUCGCUUAUGGAGGGGGAUAACUACGGGAAACUGUAGCUAAUACCGCGUACCAUAGGAUGAGCCCAAGUGGGUUUAGGUAGUUUGUGAGGUAAUGGCUCACCAAGCCGACGAUCUCUAGCUGGUCUGAGAGGAUGACCAGCCACACUGGAACUGAGACACGGGCCAGACUCCUACGGGAGGCAGCAGGGGGGAAUAUUGCGCAAUGGGGGCAACCUGACGCAGCCAUGCCGCGUGAGUGAAGAAGGCCUUCGGGUUGUAAAGUUCUUUCGGUGGCGAGGCGUUAACUACAGAAGAAGCACCGGCUAACUCCGUGCCAGCAGCCGCGGUAAUAC